UCGGAAGCUCUCUGUCCUACUCCCUACACUGAACACCCAGCAUGAGUGGAACACUCACCUUCACAGGGUCCAGUUCUGUGCGUCACAUCCUCCCUGUGGCCCUUGUUUGCACCUUAUGUCUCCUGAUGGCAGAGGCCAACCCAGAGGUGAAAUCUCCCAAAAUAUUGACACCAAAAUCGGACAAGAUCAAGGCUUCUUUAGG